AUUAAAGAGUUCUAUAACUCCCAAACCCAUGUGAACAUACCUAACGUUGCCUCGGCAGGUCGCACCUACCUUGUAGCACCCUACCCUGUAGGGCCUACCCGGGAGGUGCGGGUAAGCCUGCCGGCGGCCCACCAAACUCUGUUUGAUAUUGAAUUCUGAACCUAUAACUAAAUAAGUUAAAACUUUCAACAACGGAUCUCUUGGUUCUGGCAUCGAUGAAGAACGCAGCGAAAUGCGAUAAGUAAUGUGAAUUGCAGAAUUCAGUGAAUCAUCGAAUCUUUGAACGCAUAUUGCGCCCAUUAGUAUUCUAGUGGGCAGGACCGUUCGAGCGUCAUUUCAACCCUUAAGCCUUCGUUGCUUAGUGUUGGGAGCCUACGGCAACGUAGCUCCUCAAAGUUAGUGGCGGAGUUGGUUCACACUCUAGACGUAGUAAUUUUUUAUCUCGCCUAUUAGUUGGAUUAAUCCCCUGCCGUAAAACCCCCAAUUUAUCAAGGUUGACCUCGAAUCGGUUCAGACAAACUCGCUAAAUUGAAGCAUCUUAGUCAGCGAAGGAAAAGAAACCAACAGGGAUUGCCCUAGUAACGGCGAGUGA
rnacentral:rRNA from 1 species